UACGUAGGGUGCAAGCGUUAAUCGGAAUUACUGGGCGUAAAGCGUGCGCAGGCGGUUUUGUAAGUCUGUCGUGAAAUCCCCGGGCUCAACCUGGGAAUUGCGAUGGAGACUGCAAGGCUAGAAUCUGGCAGAGGGGGGUAGAAUUCCACGUGUAGCAGUGAAAUGCGUAGAGAUGUGGAGGAACACCGAUGGCGAAGGCAGCCCCCCCGGGCCAAUACUGACGCUCAUGCACGAAAGGCGU
rnacentral:rRNA from 1 species